rnacentral:misc_RNA from 1 species
AGAGAAUUCAUUGUACACUGCCUGCAAAGUUGAGGAAAUGCUUUCAGAGAAAAUGAUAAACUUCAACGGUUGCACCAAAAACUUCAACAGUCAUCAAAAACCAACAAAGUUUUAGAGCAUUGAUAUUUUAAAAAAAAAAAAUUAUUUGGAAAUAAUAUAAGGAGUAAAUGAGUCAUUAACAUUCUAGGAAAGGAUGUGCCAGAUUCAGAUUCCAAUAAUCAGAGGGGAAAAUUAUCAGAAAAUUUUUAACACGCUAUCAUCAACCUUGGGGGAAUAUUUAACCUAUCUAUUACUACAAACAACAUCCUUCAUGCCUUGUAUCAUUAUUAAGUUAUAGUUACCUGAAAA